rnacentral:rRNA from 1 species
GACGAACGCUGGCGGCGUGCUUAACACAUGCAAGUCGAACGGUGAAGCUCCAGCUUGCUGGAGUGGAUCAGUGGCGAACGGGUGAGUAACACGUGAGCAACCUGCCCCUGACUCUGGAAUAAGCGCUGGAAACGGCGUCUAAUACUGGAUACGAGAAGGGUCCGCAUGGGCACUUUCUGGAAAGUUUUUCGGUUGGGGAUGGGCUCGCGGCCUAUCAGCUUGUUGGUGAGGUAAUGGCUCACCAAGGCGACGACGGGUAGCCGGCCUGAGAGGGCGACCGGCCACACUGGGACUGAGACACGGCCCAGACUCCUACGGGAGGCAGCAGUGGGGAAUAUUGCACAAUGGGCGAAAGCCUGAUGCAGCGACGCCGCGUGAGGGAUGACGGCCUUCGGGUUGUAAACCUCUUUCAGCAGGGAAGGAGCGAAAGUGACGGUACCUGCAGAAGAAGCACCGGCUAACUACGUG